rnacentral:rRNA from 1 species
GCGGGGCGGCAGCUACACAUGCAGUCGACGGUAACAGGAAGCAGCUUGCUGCUUCGCUGACGAGUGGCGGACGGGUGAGUAAUGUCUGGGAAACUGCCUGAUGGAGGGGGAUAACUACUGGAAACGGUGGCUAAUACCGCAUAACGUCGCAAGACCAAAGAGGGGGACCUUCGGGCCUCUUGCCAUCAGAUGUGCCCAGAUGGGAUUAGCUUGUUGGUGAGGUAACGGCUCACCAAGGCGACGAUCCCUAGCUGGUCUGAGAGGAUGACCAGCCACACUGGAACUGAGACACGGUCCAGACUCCUACGGGAGGCAGCAGUGGGGAAUAUUGCACAAUGGGCGCAAGCCUGAUGCAGCCAUGCCGCGUGUAUGAAGAAGGCCUUCGGGUUGUAAAGUACUUUCAGCGGGGAGGAAGGUGUUGUGGUUAAUAACCGCAGCAAUUGACGUUACCCGCAGAAGAAGCACCGGCUAACUCCGUGCCAGCAGCCGCGGUAAUACGGAGGGUGCAAGCGUUAAUCGGAAUUACUGGGCGUAAAGCGCACGCAGGCGGUCUGUCAAGUCGGAUGUGAAAUCCCCGGGCUCAACCUGGGAACUGCAUUCGAAACUGGCAGGCUUGAGUCUUGUAGAGGGGGGUAGAAUUCCAGGUGUAGCGGUGAAAUGCGUAGAGAUCUGGAGGAAUACCGGUGGCGAAGGCGGCCCCCUGGACAAAGACUGACGCUCAGGUGCGAAAGCGUGGGGAGCAAACAGGAUUAGAUACCCUGGUAGUCCACGCCGUAAACGAUGUCUACUUGGGAGGUUGUGCCCUUGAGGCGUGGCUUCCGGAGCUAACGCGUUAAGUAGACCGCCCGGGGGAGUACGGCCGCAAGGUUAAAACUCAAAUGAAAUUGACGGGGGGCCCGCACAAGCGGUGGAGCAAGGGGGUUUAAAUUCGAUGCAACGCGGAAAAACCUUACCUGGGUCUUGACAUCCACAGAAAAAUUCCAGAAGAUGGGAUUUGGUGCCUUUCGGGGAACUGUUGAAGACAGGGUGCUGGCAUGGGCUGUCCUUCCGCCUCGUGGUUGUGGAAAUGUUUGGGGUUAAAGUCCCGCCAACGAAGCGGCAACCCCUUAAUUCCUUUUGUUGGCCCAGCGGAUUAAGGGUCCGGGAAACUCCAAAAGGAAGACUGGC